UGACAUUAACAGUCUCUGUAGCAAGGGGCUGUCCACUGAUUAUAAUACCCCUCAAAUCAUCACCUACGGCAUAUUUGUUGACGGGAAUAGUGACAUCAGUAAUUUGAUCAUUGACAAGGACCCCCUCUGGUGAAGCACGACUGGGCGGCAGAAUCACAGCUUCCUGUCUCUGGGCUAAGGCACGCAACUCCUCUUGCCCCUGAACAAUCCCUUGCAUCAUGCUCAUGAACUGAGCCAUGUCCUGUCUUUGGGCUAAGGCACGCAGCUCCUCUUGUCCCUGAACAACCCCUUGCAUCAUGGUCAUGAACUGGGCCAUGUUUGCCCUCAUCUCAGCCAACUCAUCUUGGACUUGAUCCAUACUCCUCUAAUGAUUCAAUCUGGUUGCGGUGCGGACGAUGAUCAACAAUCCAGUCUCAGUCAAAACCCAGAGUGAGAAGUCUCUCCCAAGCAUGUCCGCAAUGCAAGGAUGAUAUGUGCAUGAUAUGCAUAUGAUGCGGAUGCUAUUUUAUCAUGAAUGAUCCUGAAAAGGAUAUGCACAUGCGAGUUAACUUUUUUUCAUGCAUUAUUAUUUUUUUGGAAAAUAAACAUGCUAUGAUGCAAAUGAUGGAGCCAAGACUGGCAGGCUGUGCAUCUCGGCACACAGGAUCCGAAGCUUCGGCUUGAACUCUGAUCACAACCAUCUGAAACCCAAAGUCAAUCUGAUCAACUGGCAUCUGAACCCAUGUCUGGAGAACUGAGUCACCAUCUGAGUGAGCACCCACAGAUUCAGCCCAGGGAUCCGAAAUAAACGGAACCCGCUGAUAAACCACGGACAGAACUCCGGCGUCCCAGAAAUAAACGUCCAUAAAUUUGGCUGAACCAAAGUCACCAUCACAGCACCACUGGCAGAAACCGUAUCUGUAGAGAUCAAACCCUCCCCUCACAGGUAGGUUCUAAGAACAGAAGUUUGUCAGCUUCAGCCC
rnacentral:lncRNA from 1 species